rnacentral:rRNA from 1 species
GCGGCAAAAGCUCAAAUUUGAAAUCUGGCACCUUUGGUGUCCGAGUUGUAAUUUGAAGAAAGUAACUUUUGGAAUAAGCCUUGCAUAAGUUCCUUGGAACAGGACGUCAUAGAGGGUGAGAAUCCCGUAUAUGGCGGGGUAUUUAUUUCAAUGUAAAGUGCUUUCGAAGAGUCGAGUUGUUUGGGAAUGCAGCUCUAAGUGGGUGGUAAAUUCCAUCUAAAGCUAAAUAUUGGCGAGAGACCGAUAGCGAACAAGUACAGUGAUGGAAAGAUGAAAAGAACUUUGAAAAGAGAGUGAAAAAGUACGUGAAAUUGUUGAAAGGGAAGGGCUUUAAAUCAGACUUGGUAUUCAGUGAUCAGCAACCUCUUGGGGUUGUGCACUCGCUGUUUACUGGGCCAGCAUCGGUUUUGACGGUGGGAUAAUGGCAUUGGAAUGUGGCUCUCUUCGGGGAGUGUUUAUAGCCUUUGUUGAUACCACCAGUCGGGAUCGAGGACCGCGCAUUUUGCUAGGAUGCUGGCGUAAUGAUUUUAAGCCA